GCGUGGCUUUGGGUUCCUCCAGACCUGGGUUCAAAUCUUUUCUCCUCCGCGGCUUCGGCUUCCUUGCUCGGCGGCUUCGGGGGACCCACUCACUGGUCCCCUCAGAGCCUCGGUGGGCUCACCUGGCAAAGCGGGUGGGGACCUUGAGGGAUCAUCGAGAGGUCAGAGAGCAGAUGUGUACGAAUAGCUGCUCACAGUAGGCUCUCAAGGAAGGAGAGCUGUUGCCAGUGACCAGGAGUUCUAGCUCUGUUAUCCUGUCCUUUACAGAAAAGAAUAACGAGGAAUAAAUGCUUUGCUACCUCCCAGAACUGACAACUGCUUCGGGAAGAAGGAUCGCACAUCUGUUUUGCAGGAACAACUGAGCUCCUCUCAGCCAAGUAGGCAAACUGCAGAGCCUUCUCGCAUCUUCCUCCGUCUUCCUUCCCAAGGCAAAUGGAACCUUGGGCAUGCGGUGGUGGGCUGUGAGGACGGGCCCCUGUGGAUCUCGCCAGGUGGGUGGGAUAAGCCCAGCCACGUGGCAGACCCUGCUUCAGUGAAGUGGGACAGUGACAGCACCUGCCUCCUAGGCCCAUGAGCUUUUGCUCUGUAAGUACACACAGAGCCCCCAGAAUUGCCUGUGGCAUGCAGUGAGUGCCCAGCAAAUGCCAGCAUUCUCCUCCUGUUUUAAAAGGCCUCAGUGGCUCGUCAAGCAAGUAGCAGGCAAACAAAGUCAUGUAAGCAUCUAAGGAUAGGGACCCCAUUUCUCAGAUGAGUAAUAAAGCUUCAAAAGCAAUGAACCA
rnacentral:lncRNA from 1 species